UGGUUUGAGUUUAGAGUCUAUGAUUUGGGUUUAGGAUAUAGGGUUUGGGUUUAGGGUUUACGGUUUGGGUUUAGGGUUUAGGAUUUGGGUUUAGGGUAUAGGGUUUGGGUUUAGGGUUUACGAUUUGAGUUUAGUGUUUAUGAUUUGGGUUUAGGGUAUAGAUUUAAAGUUUAGGGUUUAGUUAGUGGCGUUAGUAUCAUUAAAAUUGGCGUUAUUAUUUUUCUUCAAUUAUUUCAGAAUUUUUUAAAUAAAAUUAAUCUAUUUUAUUUUAUUAUUAAUCUAAGUGGCAUUUUGAUUGGUAAUAAGAGGAGAGAUGAAUUUAAA
rnacentral:lncRNA from 1 species